UGUGCCUCUACAAAUAUUUUAGUUUGAAUCAGGAGUGUUUUGGAAGCUAAGGUCCUUUCCAACCUUAACCAUUCUAUGACUCCAACCUGGAGGAUGCUUUCAGGAGCAUCUCUCAUGCACUCUGCUACUGGGAGAUAGCUUGAGACACCCGACUAAACACUCACAUAAAUACCUGUUGAAGCAACAACUAUAAUUCUUUCUUUUCCCCCAGACUUAACAUCAGCUACGAGUAAGUAAGAAAAGGCAGGAGGGUCAUAUAUCAUGUUCUGCUUUAACAAAAAAUCUGGACUUCAGGCUCCUGGAGCUAAGGAGAAAUUCCUUAACUUCCACCAGAUGCAGAAUACAUAUUUUCUUUUCAGGGCAGUUGCUGCAAUGAACAUCUGACACUAAACAGUGAAUGCUACCGCAGGCCUGAUUUCAUCCAGUCCCCAGCAUCCUCUAAAAUAGGUAAACAAACACUAUGUAGAGAGGAUUAAUGAUCACUAACCCAUGUUUUCUUAUGAGAUCUGGGAUAAUUCAGUGACGACUGAGAAGACGAAGGAGGCAGAAAUUAAACUAAACACUACUUUCACUGACCUUACAUGCCUGGAGACUUGCUUUCAUAUAUGACCUAGGUGCCAUGAUUAAAGAACACAGGGGAGGCAGAGCCCCACUGCAGCUUUCAAAGCACACUCAUGACAUUACAACACUCAGCCAUAACAGGAGAAGGCUACACCUGGAUCAAAUGGAUUCUUACUGACCAUGGCACGGAAAGUUAAUGUAGGAGCUAGCCUCUGCCUGGAAAAGAAACCAGACUUUGGAUCUUCUUGGCUGGAAGAGGAAAAACAGGGCAUGACACUCUUGCACCUUCUACUGGAUAACAACAGAAAAGAGGAAAAAAGAGACAGGAAAAGUUAAGUUUUACCCUAUAGGGUAGCCAGCUAAUCGGGGUUACAGCAUCCCUCAGAUUGCUCUAAAUGCAGUCCAAAGCAGAAAAUCAGCAACUUCAGUUUCAAAACACGCAUGAAUGAUUAACCACCACAUCCAAGUGACUGGAAAGACGAAAUAUGAGGGAUCAGUCCAAUCUGCUGGAAUCUGAGAUGGGAAUUUUUUCCCAGUUUCUUGCUUUUUUUUUGGGGGGGGGGGCAGAAGCGGUUAGCUGGAAUACCUUUACAUGUCAUUUUAGAGCGAGCUCACCAGCUUGGUUUCUACCAUUUUAAUUUUGAGAACAGAUAAUUUUUUUUGAAGCACAAAGACAGCAACAAAAAUGUGCUGCAGGUUUGAUUUUGGGGUUUGAUCUCCGAUUUUUUUCCACUUAGCUGAACAUUGCAUUUUCCAAUACGUAUCAGCCCACAGAGCAACAUGGAAUCUCCUUUUUCUUCUGCAACCACUGCAGAAGCAGCAGGUGGAUCUGCAGAGCACCAGUUUGUCAAAGCCAGGACAGAGAAAUGCUUUGCUGACCUUGGCAGAAACACCCACUAACCUAAUCUGGGCUACUCAGAUAGGCAAGCUCAGCCUAGGUUAGACUGAACCACCUAUGUGCUUGACCUUACACCAAAGGAUGGUGAAGCCUUGCCUUUUUCGCUUGACAUAC